UGGGGAAUUUUGGACAAUGGGCGAAAGCCUGAUCCAGCAAUGCCGCGUGUGUGAAGAAGGCCUUCGGGUUGUAAAGCACUUUUGUCCGGAAAGAAAUCCUUGGCUCUAAUACAGUCGGGGGAUGACGGUACCGGAAGAAUAAGCACCGGCUAACUACGUGCCAGCAGCCGCGGUAAUACGUAGGGUGCAAGCGUUAAUCGGAAUUACUGGGCAUAAAGCGUGCGCAGGCGGUUUGCUAAGACCGAUGUGAAAUCCCCGGGCUCAACCUGGGAACUGCAUUGGUGACUGGCAGGCUAGAGUAUGGCAGAGGGGGGUAGAAUUCCACGUNUGAGCAGUGAAAUGCGUAGAGAUGUGGAGGAAUACCGAUGGCGAAGGCAGCCCCCUGGGCAAUACUGACGCUCAUGCACGAAAGCGUGGGGAGCAAACAGGAUUAGAUACCCUGGUAGUCCACGCCCUAAACGAUGUCAACUAGUUGUUGGGAUUCAUUUCCUAGUAACGUAGCUAACGCGUGAAGUUGACCGCCUGGGGAGUACGGUCGCAAGAUUAAAACUCAAAGGAAUUGAC
rnacentral:rRNA from 1 species